GCUAAAUAUCAUAAAGAGAACUGAUUGCUCGCUCAGACCUGUGAAACCCAGGAGAGCAGAGAGCAGGCCUCCAACUCUGCAGUGUGACCGACCCAGUCUGCGAUGGACCAGAGGGUGACCAGCCCAGGAAGCAGACACCUGCAGGACGGUUGAAGCACUGGGACGCCAGCAGAUCCACGAGCAAAGGGGACCGCAGGAAUGGACACACCCGCC
rnacentral:lncRNA from 1 species